rnacentral:rRNA from 1 species
GACGAACGCUGGCGGCGUGCUUAACACAUGCAAGUCGAACGGUGAAGCGCCUUCCUUUUUGGUGGGUGUGGAUGAGUGGCGAACGGGUGAGUAACACGUGAGUAACCUGCCCCCUUCUUCUGGAUAACCGCAUGAAAGUGUGGCUAAUACGGGAUAUUCUGGGUCUGUCGCAUGAUGGGUCUGGGAAAGAUAUUGUUUCGGUGGGGGAUGGGCUCGCGGCCUAUCAGCUUGUUGGUGGGGUGAUGGCCUACCAAGGCGGUGACGGGUAGCCGGCCUGGGAGGGUCGGCCGCCCCGCUGGGGAUGCGCCCCCGCCCCGCCUCCUGCCGGCAGCAGCAGGGGGGGUUCCUGACUAAUCGGCGCAAUCCUGAUGCAGCGCCGCCGCGUGAGGGAUGGAGUCCUUCGGGUUGUGAACCUCUUUCGCCAGUGAAGCAGGCCUGCCUCGUUUGUGGGUGGGUUGACGGUAGCUGGAUAAGAAGCGCCGGCUAACUACGUG